rnacentral:rRNA from 1 species
GAUGAACGCUGGCGGCGUGCUUAACACAUGCAAGUCGAACGGUGAAGCCCAGCUUGCUGGGUGGAUCAGUGGCGAACGGGUGAGUAACACGUGAGCAAUCUGCCCCUGACUCUGGGAUAAGCGCUGGAAACGGCGUCUAAUACUGGAUACGAACCGUGGAGGCAUCUUCAACGGUUGGAAAGAUUUUUUGGUCAGGGAUGAGCUCGCGGCCUAUCAGCUUGUUGGUGAGGUAAUGGCUCACCAAGGCGUCGACGGGUAGCCGGCCUGAGAGGGUGACCGGCCACACUGGGACUGAGACACGGCCCAGACUCCUACGGGAGGCAGCAGUGGGGAAUAUUGCACAAUGGGCGAAAGCCUGAUGCAGCAACGCCGCGUGAGGGAUGACGGCCUUCGGGUUGUAAACCUCUUUUAGCAGGGAAGAAGCGAAAGUGACGGUACCUGCAGAAAAAGCGCCGGCUAACUACGUGCCAGCCGCCGCGGUAAAAC